rnacentral:tRNA from 1 species
UCCCAGGUGGCUCAGUGGUAAAGCAUCUGCCUGCAAUGCAGGAGACUUGGCUUCAGUCCCUGGGUU